GCUCCCGUAGUUCAACGGAUAGAAUAGGGCUUUGCGGAAGCUCUGAUGACAGUUCAAUUCUGUCCGGGAGCG
rnacentral:tRNA from 1 species